CACGUAGGGACCAAGCGUUGUCCGGAUUUAUUGGGCGUAAAGAGCUCGUAGGCGGUUUGGUAAGUCGGGUGUGAAAACUCAGGGCUUAACCCUGAGACGCCACCCGAUACUGCUAUGACUUGAGUCCGGUAGGGGAGUGGGGAAUUCCUGGUGUAGCGGUGAAAUGCGCAGAUAUCAGGAGGAACACCGGUGGCGAAGGCGCCACUCUGGGCCGGUACUGACGCUGAGGAGCGAAAGCGUGGGGAGCGAACAGG
rnacentral:rRNA from 1 species